rnacentral:lncRNA from 1 species
UACUCAUAUUAAAGAAAGCAAUGUGAUUUAGUAGGACUCUCUUUCGAGAGUAUGCAUGUUCCCUUCCCUCUUUCUUAAUUUUGAGAGGCUAUAGCCUGUGGACAUUGUUUUAGUCAUUCAAUUGAAUCAAUGAACAAAUCUAUUCACAUAUUGUUUGUCAUCUCAUGUUACACUCCAUAUACAACUAGCUUACCAACAUCAAUGACAAUGUUGAAAUAUUACAUCAAUAACUACAUCAUUAAAAAUAUGAUUUGUUAGGACAUUGAUUGGCUGCAGUUUAAUUCAUACAAUCUCAUUUAUUACUAAACAAAAAUAAAUAACCAUUUAAAAUGAAAAUUUCUUACUAUGCGGUAUUUUUAAUUGGGUAACUAGCUAGUGAGCUACAUAAAGAUAAAUGCAUACAACUAACACCAAGUAGAUUCUUUUUUAUCGUUGAAGUUUAUCAUAUGGGCGUGCAUAUAUAUCACUAGCUAACACCUGUCACGAUGAUCACUUACCUCGUUCAUAAUCUUCCGAUCAUUUGAACUUCAGCCAAUUCAUGUUCUACUAGGCACUCUGAAGCAAUAAAAUUGUUAGUAAAUAUCAUUAAAUUCAAAGUCAUCGGAAUGUUUAGUUUGAUUGGAACUCUACAAAGCUAACACUUUUAAUGAACCAAACUCCUAUACUGUUAAUCAGGAAGAGAUAAUCUGCAUCCCAAGGACUAGAGAAACACAUAAUCAGGGGAAUAUGUAAGCAAAAUAGCUCAAAAUGAAUCAAAAUCAAGAGCUUUGGCCAAUAAUUUGUUGUCUUUUUUGUUAUUGGCUUUGUUCCCUCAAACCCUCCCAUGAUUAAUAUUUUGAACUCCCUAAACCUCAGGAUGCAGAUUACCAGAUCCUAACUCAAUCAUUAUACACCUCCAUGAAAAAAAAAAUGAAGAUUUUGAGAAGAAUAAUAAUGAUGACAAAAUGUGGGAAGUAGUAGAGAAGAAGAGAGAAAAGUAUAAGGUCUUGUUGUAUUAUGAUGAGAAUUUAUAAGGGUUUUUAAGAC